GCUAAACGCGAAGAACCUUACCUGGCCUUGACAUCCACGGAAGCCCAAAGAGAUUUGGGAGUGCCGCAAGGAACCAUGAGACAGGUGCUGCAUGGCUGUCGUCAGCUCGUGUCGUGAGAUGUUGGGUUAAGUCCCGCAACGAGCGCAACCCUUGUCCUUAGUUGCCAUCAUUAAGUUGGGAACUCUAAGGAGACCGCCGGUGACAAACCGGAGGAAGGUGGGGAUGACGUCAAGUCAUCAUGGCCUUUAUGGCCAGGGCUACACACGUGCUACAAUGGCAGGUACAGAGGGAAGCCAACCAGCAAUGGGGAGCCAAUCCCAGAAAGCCUGUCUUAGUCCGGAUUGCAGUCUGCAACUCGACUGCAUGAAGUUGGAAUCGCUAGUAAUCGCGGAUCAGCUAUGCCGCGGUGAAUACGUUCCCGGGUCUUGUACACACCG
rnacentral:rRNA from 1 species